rnacentral:rRNA from 1 species
CUACGGAAGGCAGCAGUGGGGAAUAUUGGACAAUGGGGGCAACCCUGAUCCAGCAAUGCCGCGUGAGUGAUGAAGGCCUUCGGGUUGUAAAGCUCUUUUGCCAGGGACGAUGAUGACGGUACCUGGAGAAUAAGCCCCGGCUAACUUCGUGCCAGCAGCCGCGGUAAUACGAAGGGGGCAAGCGUUGUUCGGAAUUACUGGGCGUAAAGGGCGCGUAGGCGGCCGAUCAAGUCAGGCGUGAAAUUCCCGGGCUCAACCUGGGGGCUGCGUUUGAUACUGAUUGGCUUGAAUGCGGGAGAGGAUAGUGGAAUUCCCAGUGUAGAGGUGAAAUUCGUAGAUAUUGGGAAGAACACCGGUGGCGAAGGCGGCUAUCUGGCCCGUUAUUGACGCUGAGGCGCGAAAGCGUGGGGAGCAAACAGGAUUAGAUACCCCAGUA